UUUCCGUAGGUGAACCUGCGGAAGGAUCAUUAACAAAUCCAGCGCAGGCGUGUCACAGCGCCUGCACAUGAGCCGGACUCCCGAGAGGGGGUUCGCCUGCGGCUGUGGCUGCAGAAAUGGACGUGUGAGUGUAUGUCUUAUGGUAAUGUAAAAAGAAGUAACGAGAAACAACUUUUAACAAUGGAUCUCUUGGCUCCU
rnacentral:misc_RNA from 1 species